UACUAUAAGUUGAAAGAAAUAUAUUCAUAAAAGUUUUGAAAUAUAAGCGUCGUACUUGUUUUGUGCACAGCCUCUUUAUUAGUUGACUACCCCCCCUCCCCCCCACAAACAAAAUAGUGUUCAAUAAUAUUACACGUACGGCCAGAAAAUAAAUCGUCGAAAAGCACUCCGUCAGACAUCACUUGGUUCGGAACACAAUAUUUAUUUGUAUUAUUAUUAUCAUUUGUAAAUUAUAACCGUAUUUCCAUGUUAUAAAUUAUAUAACCAUUAUAAUUAUUAUUAGUUAUUUACCCACUAAAUUGUACAGAAAUCGAGUACCCGGAUCAAUAGCCGUACCAUUACUAUAAUACAGGUAAUAUUAUGUUGUUAAAGAUCUUAUUAGUGUUAUUAUUAUUUUUGAUGUUCGAUUGUUAUCAAAGUAUCAAGGACACUGUGCAAUGCCAGACUGGCGGUCUCAUUAGGACGUAUAACGAGAGUCCGUUUGCCGUCGUAAACCAUUGCAUUUAAAUAACACACUGUGUACCUCCGCAUUAUUAUUAUAAAAUUGACAUUGACUACCUAUGGUCGAUUUUAAACCGAGUUUAUUCGUCAAUGAUGAUUAAUAGUAGGUAUGUACACGCAAUUCGAAUCCAGCAUUUUACCACCGGACAUUAGACACUCGUACAAUAAUAAUAAUAUAUAAAUACAAUAUCGGAACAGCGUUGGGCUUGACGGAGAAAUGCACACAAUCCAAAAACACAACUACUGCACGUCAAAGACGACGUUCUUUUUUGGGGGGGAGGGUGCUCAUAGGGGCCAUGACGCCCCUAAACAUUUUAUUGAACUUACGCGCAAAUACUUUUUUUUCUGAAAGUAUAUUAUAACAAUAUGACACGACACGGACACGGUGAAUGCAACAUAAUAAAUUAAUAUUGUGAUUGACAACACGGAUAACACAAUAAAAUAAUUUAAUAUCUAUGUUAAAAAUGAACAAGACAAUUUUAUGUAAACUAUAUUAUAAAGUUUUCGUAUUCAAAAUUACAUAUUUAACAUUUUAAUGGACAUGAAUAUAUUUAUAUUUAAAAAUAUUGCAACCCCCCCCCCCCGCGCUUAGACAAAGAACUAAACCUGCUGAAAGUGUUCUUCAGCACAGUUGUUAUUCUACGGACCGCAAAUACCUGGAUUUGGGUUU